CCUACGGGAGGCAGCAGUGGGGAAUAUUGCACAAUGGGGGAAACCCUGAUGCAGCGACGCCGCGUGAGUGAAGAAGUAUUUCGGUAUGUAAAGCUCUAUCAGCAGGGAAGAAAAUGACGGUACCUGAUUAAGAAGCCCCGGCUAACUACGUGCCAGCAGCCGCGGUAAUACGUAGGGGGCAAGCGUUAUCCGGAUUUACUGGGUGUAAAGGGAGCGUAGACGGGAGCACAAGUCUGGAGUGAAAUGCCGGGGCUUAACCCCGGAACUGCUUUUGAAACUGUGCAGCUAGAGUGCAGGAGAGGUAAGUGGAAUUCCUAGUGUAGCGGUGAAAUGCGUAGAUAUUAGGAGGAACACUAGUGGCGAAGGCGGCUUACUGGACUGUAACUGACGUUGAGGCUCGAAGGCGUGGGGAGCGAACAGGAUUAGAUACCCUUGUAGUC
rnacentral:rRNA from 1 species